GUGCACCAGGCGCGAAACCUUCGCAAUGCGGGAAACCGCGACGAGGGGACUCCCAGUGCCUACGCUCAGCGUAGGCUGUUCCCGAGCCUAGAAAGCUCGGGGAGUAAGGGCUGGGUAAGACGGGUGCCAGCCGCCGCGGUAAUACCCGCAGCCCGAGUGGUGGCCACUAUUAUUGGGCCUAAAGCGUCCGUAGCCGGCCCGGUAAAUGCCUGGGUAAAUCGUGAGGCCUAACCUCACGAAUUCCGGGUAGACUGCCGGGCUAGGGACCGGAGGAGGGAGAGGGUACUCCAGGGGUAGGGGUGAAAUCCUGUAAUCCCUGGAGGACCACCGGUGGCGAAGGCGCUCUCCUAGGACGGGUCCGACGGUGAGGGACGAAAGCCAGGGGAGCGAACCGGAUUAGAUACCCCCGUAGU
rnacentral:rRNA from 1 species